GCAUUGUUUCAGUGGCAGAAUUCUCAUCUUCCAUAUGGGAGACCUGGGUUCGAUUCUCAGUCAAUGCA
rnacentral:tRNA from 1 species